rnacentral:pre_miRNA from 1 species
UUUAAGCACAGUCAUAAGUUUUUUUUCCAACUCUAAUUAUACGUAUUAUUUAAAAUUAUUUUAUGGUUAGUAUUUUUUAUUGUUAUUUUAUAAUAAAACAUAAAUAGCACUUUGUGUCUUAUUUAUGUGUUUUAAAUUUUUUUUAAAUAAAAUGGACAACUAAAGUUAGACAUAAAAAGUCAUGUGUGCGCUUAAA